rnacentral:rRNA from 1 species
GAAGAAGGCCUUCGGGUUGUAAAGCCCUUUUGUUGGGAAAGAAAUCCAGCUGGCUAAUACCCGGUKGGGAUGACGGUACCCAAAGAAUAAGCACCGGCUAACUUCGUGCCAGCAGCCGCGGUAAUACGAAGGGUGCAAGCGUUACUCGGAAUUACUGGGCGUAAAGCGUGCGUAGGUGGUCGUUUAAGUCCGUUGUGAAAGCCCUGGGCUCAACCUGGGAACUGCAGUGGAUACUGGGCGACUAGAGUGUGGUAGAGGGUAGCGGAAUUCCUGGUGUAGCAGUGAAAUGCGUAGAGAUCAGGAGGAACAUCCAUGGCGAAGGCAGCUACCUGGACCAACACUGACACUGAGGCACGAAAGCGUGGGGAGCAAACAGGAUUAGAUACCCUGGUAGUCCACGCCCUAAACGAUGCGAACUGGAUGUUGGGUGCAAUUUGGCACGCANUAUCNAAGCUAACGCGUUAAGUUCGCCGCCNGGGGA